rnacentral:snRNA from 1 species
AGCUUUGCGCAGUGGCAGUAUCGUAGCCAAUGAGGUUUAUCCGAGGCGCGAUUAUUGCUAAUUGAAAACUUUUCCCAAAAAUUAAAAUUUAGGGAUAGAUAUUACUU